CAGCAGGGCAGUGAGUGUAGCAGAGCGGCAGCUCACGGAGUUCAGAGCCCCUUGCCUGUGGAGCCCUUCCUCUCUCUGUGGCCCAGAUGAUGUGUCCAAGAGCCCAGGCUGAGGACAGACUCUCCCGGGCUGAAGUCAGAAUCACCUCUGGCCUGCGAUGCCUAACAUCUUCCUCCUGGCUUGGCUCACCGCCUGGCUCCCUCCCUGGAAGGAAUUCUCCUACGCCCCUUACAGGUAACCACUGUCAGGCAGCCCAAGCAGCAUCAGAGGUCUGAACCCCGACAGAGGAGGAAAGAGAUGCAGCCCCAGCUAAGCCUACUGUGGCUCCUUCAUCGGAUGCAGAAUGGGGGGCGUCUAGCUUUGACUGCUUUCUUCUCAGGCAGAAUCUUUGCAGAAUGACCAUUUUUUUCUGGCCAUCUGGUGCUUCCUUCUCAACCCAGGAGGGCUAUAUUGGUCUGAAGAAGAAAAGCGAGAAGGAGCUCCGUGGGCUGGCAGGCCAGGUGGGAAAUGACUGUGCGUGCUCCCUGAGCCGGAGGAGACGCGGCUCCCCUGCCCACUCAGGGAGCGGGGCCCAAAAGCAGAGGGAGGUCAACGGCGAAAACUUCCCUGUCCUUGGCCCUCCACAGUCUCCUGAUUAAAACAUUCAGGUGUACUGCAGUUGAAAACAGAGUUGGAAAAACACCUCGGGGCUUCAAUCUGCUCAGUAUGAGGAUGACAGGGGCUUACACGGAAAUGUUUUCUCUUCACUUGCAUUCAGCGCCUGGAGGAAGAGCGGAGAGGCGGCUGCCGGCCCCAUCCCAGGCCCCUUCGCCCCCAGCCCCAGGCUGUGUUGAGAGGCGCCACAGGCUCCACCAGCAGCAGGGUGGCUGACGAAACGCCCAGCUAUUUAGACAAACAAGUGUUCAGGGCGAAGGCAGCCUCCCUCCCUCGGCAGCCCCAGCCCUCCCUUCCUGCCAGAGUCGGGGCUGAUUCCCUCGGAUGAUGCUAAUGAACAGCUCAUAAGUACUAACAAGCUCCUUGGCACCCGGAAGCCAGGCAGAGUAACUUCCAACGUGAAUUUGGGCCACGUCUAGACCCCAGCGCAGUUUCAGGAUUUUCAAUUGAUGAGUCUGCGUGGCACAAGACGUGAGAGGGGGCUCUCCGCGGCUCCCAGAAAGUGGGCUCCUUACGGCCACAUUGGGCCCCUCGCAGACCCGUUUCUAGGUCGUGAGACUUCCCCCCGACAGACAGGCACGAGCCCUGAAACCGUCCCUGAGACCCGGAAUGCGGAGCUGGUUCCAGAAAGUCCAAGAUGGCUUCUUGGUCUCAGAGAACAUUUACGUGGGGAUGGGAAGCAAGGAUCACGAAGACGUCCCUACCCAGCCCCUGCCCCGCCCCCGGCUAAAGCUGCCUGUCAGUGGGUGCAAUCCUCUGAACUGUGCUCGGGCCUUCGGCGGACUGAGAAGACUUCAUUAUGGAUGCGUAAGGUUAAUUCGACCUAUUUCCCUGAGCACUGUUGUGUUUUCAUGAGGAAACUUCUCUCAGGAGAGAGCUGGAUGAAAUAACACCUCUGUCCUCCUCUCCUACUCCCGCCGCGGGGGCCACAUGCCUCUUUCCCAGGUGCCAGGCCCCAGGCAAUAUUCCGGCUCAGAGCUCCACCUUCAGCACCUGACAGCGGGCCCAGCUCCAAGCUUCUUUCGUCUCAAAGUACCACAUAGCUCUUAAUCAAACAUCCCUAUGUGGGGGCUCCUGAUCCCUGAACUUAACGUUGACUCUCCAGUACAACAGGUAAAGUAGCUCGAGAAAAUGGGGUGUGACUAUGCCUAAGCUAUUGGUUCUUGGCAGCUUUGGAUGAUCAGAUCCACCCGCCAGUGUGCUAGGCUUGCCAAGGCCCCAUCCUAAGAUUAUUCCUGGGCUCGGUUUCGUCCUAGCUGUGUAGAGGAUUUACUCCUUGUAAGGCGUAUUUUGAUUCUCAGAGCACCACAAGACAAUGUGGCUCCCUUAUCCUGAGCAGUCAGUCAAGAACCAUCUGGUCAGCCUGCACCAUGAACACAGACCUGAUGGAGCUGUCAAGGAUCCAAAAGAUGUAAGAUAUUGGGGCUUGCUCUGAGUUUUCCCCCUUGUUAGGGAACCAGUACUCACACAGCAGUGACUGUUAAGGUCACUGUUAAGUUGGCACCUGCUGGCUGUCGCACACGAUAGUUAGAUGAACAUGGGCUCUGGAGUCAGACAGCGGGUAUGCAUCCUUGCUCCCUCUCCCAGCAGCGUGACUGUGGGCGGGCUGCUCCAUCCCUCACCCACUCGUCCGCCUCUCUGGGCAUGUUAGGAGGGUAAAUGGGAUGGCCUGCGCUCCACACAGUGCCUGGCACACAGGAAAUAUUCGGUACCUUCAGCUAUUGUUACUUUUCUGCAGCUCAACUGUGUGUCCUUUGUGGACAGAGGCUGAUUUUCACAGCUGUUAUCUCCCGCAGGGCCUUUCAUAUAUAUAAUAUAAUACAUGCCCGAGAGUGCGUUGAUCUACCUGGGGGAAUGUGUGACACGAGGAGAGAAGAGUUCUAUUGUGUAGGACAAUUUUCUUCAGGAAAGAAAAAGUGGGUGAAUUAAUGAAAUGGUACAGAUUUUGAAAAAGUCACUUUGUCCAAUAAAAGUAUUUUCACCUGCACAUAUUCAUAUUGUAAAAUAAUGAACCAAGAUUUCUGUACAUAUAGCUCAUCCUGGGAUGUUUAAAUGGGGAUAACAGACAGAAGCUGAAACAAGCACAGUAAGCUACACAUAAUCUCGAGAAAUGCACCACAAAUUUGUAGCUUGUUCAGAUGAACAUCACAAUGGGUCUUGAGGGGAGCACGAGAAUGAAAUUUUCAAAAAAUAAACUUCUCCCUUAGUCCACACUGUCAAUCACUGCCAAGGCCUGACUCUUGGCAGACAAAAUGGUCCUGACGGACCGAUCCCUGCCUGGGCCACUGUUCAGUGAUGCCUGGGCGGACCAUGGCAAAGUGAGUGAGUGAUCUGUGUCACUCUACCUCAGCCCCACAGCACGACUUGGAUUACCAAGUGGGCUAAGCCAAGACGAGGCCCCUUCUGCUCUAACAUUCCUUUACGUCUCUCUUGCUGUUAUAUAAUGGAAGAAGGGCCGGAUGCGGACUCAGGAGGUGGCCUGUGAAGGGGUUCGGAACAGACCUCCCCAAGAGGUGCACUUUGCCAUGUGGAAUAGUUUGAACUGAAGGCAAUUGAGACCCUGUGGGUCUUUACCUCUCCCUUUCUACCUCUCCCUUAAAGAAUUUAAGCUAGAGGCCUCACCCAGAAUAAGAGUUAUUAUCAGAAAUAACUUUUUAUGACCUAUCUAUACGGCAGGGCGAAACCUCUAACUGCUGAACCUUUGCUCUUCUUAUCAUCCUGUGAACUACCCUCCUCCCCUCUGAAGCCUCAGGCCCCUAUCCCAUUACUUAGCUCAUCAUGGCAUAAAUACUUCAUUUACAUUUCUUUCUCUGAAUCUCUCAUGCAUGUGAGGUUCCUGUAUGUGCAAAGUUAAAUUUGAUUGUCUUCUGUUAAUCUGUCUCAUGGCAAUUUAAUUCUUAGACCAGCCAGAAGAACCUAGAAGGGUAGAGGAAAAAUAUCUUCCUUCCCACACCUACAUUCAUAUUCCAGCCCUGCCACUCACUAGCUGAGCGACCUUGGUUGACGCACUCAACCUCUCUGAGCCUCAUUCAAAAAGGCCAUAAAUCUAUAGAUUUAUAGGUGGGAACAUCUGUAUAUAUAAAAUGAAGGGAACUGGGCCAGGUAGUCUGUGAGGCCAUUUCUAGCUCUAAAUCCUGACCUCCCGUGAGAUGUGAAAGAAUGAGAUUAGAGGGAGGCAGCACGGCUGAGGGCAUGCAGGGUGGGUAGGUGCUGGAGCCCAGGGUUCUUUCAGAGACCACAGCCACAUUCCUUUUGCACCACCCCCAGGAUGUACACACAAAGCCACAUACCAUAGUCCCACCUCUAGGUGUGGAUGGCAAAUAUUCAUUUGAAUCACUUAAUGACUUAGUAUUUGCUGAGGACCUUCUGCAGAACAAGGGGCUGAGGGGCUGUGCUGCGAGGGGUACAAAAGGCGGGCACAUCAAAACCCCUGCCCUGGGGAAGGUCAGGGUCCAAACGCCAGCUUUGUCUGCAGCAGACUGUGUGGCUUUGCGGACACCAUAACCUCUCUAAGUCUAUUUCCUCAUCUGUGAAACAAGGAAAAUCAAUCCUAUGUUGCUUGCUAUAAGAAUUAGAGAUAAUAUAGGUAAAGCUUGUUGGAUUGUUUCCAGGAUUGGAUUGUUGUAAAGAUAGAUGUUAUAUGUCCAGCUCCUGGCACAGCGCCCAGCACCUGUAAUUACUAUAAUUACCAUUAAUAUACUCUUAUCAUUGUUGUCAGUAUGGCUAGCAUUAAUCAUGCUUUUGGAAGAGAGGACACCUGAAGGGGGAGUGGGGCUCAGUGACUGGCAGGUGAGUUUCGAUCCAAGAGCUCUUUGCUUCCCUAAGGCCUGGCCUACGUGCAUCACACCUCCACUUGUGUUCCUACGAAGCCACUCAUGUGUCUGUCAUUCAUUCCCCAGAACUCUCAGACCCACCCUUCCAGAAGGCUUUCUAACAGGAAAUAUAACUGUUAUUAGAUUUUUUUUUUUAAAGUUAAAAUCAAGUUCAGCGCUCAUACAUUUUUUUGGGCGUUAACUGUAAACCUCUCCUGUUCUUUGAAAAAACAAACCUGGAUCUCUGUGCCGAUCCAGAGGGAGGCUUUGUUGUCGGAAGUUCAGUCUGGGGAAUCUGCAGCCUCUGCCCUUCUAGGAGGCUGAUGCAGGCCAGGGCCAUGCUGCUGCCCCCCACCAGGAAUGUAAGAAAUCCCUUUGAUCUCUAAAGAAUCUAGAUUAACCGGCCUUCUUGGUGGGCAAGGAGACGGCUGUAAAUUCUAGCAUUCAUUCAAAGGCUUUCAAAUUCUUGUUUCUUAAAGCUAUUCCAUUAAUUAAUUCCAUUCACAUCACCACCAUUUUUUUUGCUUUUUUCCUGUGCUCUUAUUUUUCUCUGAAACCACAGCAAUGUCUGGGGGGGUUGAUAAAUUCGUAAUCAUGGGAAAGAGUUUUACUUCUUUGGCCUCGCCUCUCCUCUCCCCUACUGUCUCUCUCCCACAAAAGCUGUAUUUUCUCAAGUUUCUCUUCUUUCUGCUGGGAUGCUCAUCAUCAGAAUUACAAUGUAUUAAGUACUGUGGAGGAUCAGAUUUACUGCCCCGAAAUGUGUCUCUUUGGCUUGAUUAUUUUUAAGGACAAAAGACUCAGGAAGAACAUUUGACCUUCUCCCAAAUUGCCUAAAAGAAUUUAGGAUAGAAGGGCCUGUCCCAGGAAGGAGGUAUCACCAUAGAUCAUUCUAGGCGUGGUAGAAAGGAAGGCAUCCAGUAAGGGCCAUUUCAUCAAAAGAUCUCUUUCGGGUCCGUUGUCUAUAGAUGGCCCAGGAAACACUUGUUUACUCCCAUCCCCAUGUAAAUGGUCUUCCUCCCCUUUGAAGUCCCUAACCACUACCUCCCACAUCCUCCUUUGUCUUUAGCUGAAGAUGGUAUUUAAGGUGGUGACUUCAGCCAUUUUGGCAAGUUCCUCAGUUUUCCUGGGUUUCUCCCCAGUAUGCAUGUUAUUAAACUUUACUUUUCUC
rnacentral:lncRNA from 1 species